rnacentral:rRNA from 1 species
UACGUAGGCAGCGAGCGUUGUUCGGAGUUACUGGGCGUAAAGGGUGUGUAGGCGGUUGUUUAAGUUUGGUGUGAAAUCUCCCGGCUCAACUGGGAGGGUGCGCCGAAUACUGAAUGACUUGGAGUGCGGGAGAGGGAAGUGGAAUUCCCGGUGUAGUGGUGAAAUGCGUAGAUAUCGGGAGGAACACCAGUGGCGAAGGCGACUUUCUGGCCUGUUCUUGACGCUGAGGCGCGAAAGCUAGGGGAGCAAACGGG